UGGUGGGGGCCCUCCUUCUGCUGGACUUCCUUGGUAGGGGUUCUGAAGCAGAAAGAAGGCAGGCUAUGGGGAAGGGGCUGUCCGGCUGUCCUUCUAGCUGCUAAACCUCGGGGCCACCAGAGCCUGUGCCUCAUCUGCUAGAGGCCUUUCUGCCUGCCUCCUGCAAGGGGCUUCUGCUUUCCUAGAAGCCUCUGGAAGGGGGAGCUGUGUGGGUCCGUGACUCUCCCCAGAUGCCAGCACAGUGGAAUAAUCCCCCAGGAAGAGACUGCGGUGAGGGAGUGUCCCCCAAACUUCUGGGGAGUGGGGGCCGGGAGGCGAGGCCAACAGAGGGACAGAGGGUCUCUCCCAGGUAAGCAUCAGGCCUCUGGUUCCAGAGUGGGGCGAUCUGUGCCGCACCCCCUCCCUUCUCCUCCCGCCUUCCGGGCCCCUCCCCUCCCCCCUUCCUCUUCCUCCCGCUCCCUUCCCCCCAUUCCCUCCAGCUCAGCUCCUCCUUCCUCUGCCCUCCCGGCCCUCCUUACCGGGCCUGAGCUGACCUUGGGCUCCAGGAUGGGGAGUGGGGAGCCCCCCGAGGCCAGGACGCUGCUGUGGCUGGGUGCCUGAGGGAGAAACAAAACUGAAACUAAUGGUACUUCUGCAACUUCCGUCCCCAGCCCGGGACACCGACUUGCACGGCUUCAGGCCCCGCCUUCUUCCCUACCCCAGCCCGGAUCUCUUCCUCAGGAGGGGGGCCUUUACCCUGGCCGCCAGGCCCCUCCUGCAGGCCCCGGGGGCUGGGUGGGCCUCCCCAGUGGCAGAAUUUCAGCAGGACAUUGACCCAAGGAAAGCUCAUUCUGGCAGCAGGGUCCAGGUAAAACGUGGAAGGAUCUGGAGCCGAGAUGGUGGCCAUAGGACCGAGAAGAGGGUGGAGGAUGGGAUCCUUAUAAGGCUGCUAUUGUUGAAGGCAACGAAGCCCACGAAGCCCAUGGCGCUGGUGACAGGUGCUGGGGAAGGAAGGUGAAGGAAGGAGGCAGGCUUUGAGGUCUGGAGGUCAGAAGGGAGGAUAAGGCUGAGGACACCUGAGGCUUGUGACCUUUCUAUACUCUUCUGUGGUUUUGAUGAAGUCUUACAAUAGUGCCCAGAGCGAGAAGAGCAGGGCUGAGAUGGCACCAUGGGGACCAGACAUUUCAGGGCAAACCAGGGUGGGGGUGGGGGCGUGAAGGAAGCUGAGAAGUAGUGGCCAGAGAAGCAGUGGGAACCCUAAGAGAGAGAAGAUUGCAGGAGCCAUGCUAGGGAAUGCCCCACUUCCAGAAGACGGAGGUGGUCAACUGCUGCAGACCAGCCAGUCUAGCCAACAGAUGGACAUAUCAGUACAUGUGUGUCUACAAGCAUAUGCACACACCUGCAUGUGUGUAUGGCCUCUGUGUGUGAUUCUUUAUGAACACCAGGAGCGAUCCGUCAGACGUCUACUGUAGCCAGACAGCUGCCGUGCACUGUGGACCAUACAGAGAUAAACAGGAUAUGUUCCCCACUCAAGAGGAGUUUUCAAUCUAAUAGGAGAGAGAAAGAGGCAGAGACAUAAGCAGAGGGAGAAGCAGGCUCCCUGCGGGGAGCCCGAUGUGGAACUCAAUCCCAGGACGCCGGGAUCAUGACCUGAGCCCGAGGCAGAUGCUCAACCCCUGAGCCAGCGGUCCCCACAACCUGGUUUAAUCGUCAUGAUAAUCUGCUGACAUAGCACCUACGGUGUACAGCUGGGCUCCAGGAAGACAGUUUCUUCCGCAGAGAACAGACUCCUAAGCAAAGGCAUAACUCACCUCCAGCGAAAUGAUAAGCAUUACCACAGAGACACACAUGAGAGUGGGGUGUGCAGAUUCUCCCUGGAUGCUGGGGGUUCCUCAAGAUAACCCCAGGGGGGAAGGAAGGCCUUUCACGGUGGCAGUUGGUUUUUUUUUUUUGUUUGUUUUGUUUUUUUCAGUUGGUUUGAUAGAACUGGAGUGCAAGGGUCUGGAGGGAAGUGAUAGGAGAUGGGGCUGGGGAGGCAGAACAAAAUUUAAAAUUACCUGCCUAGGGCAGCCCGGAUGGCUCAGCGGUUUAGUACCUGCCUUCGGCCCAGGGUCGUGAUCCUGGAGACCCGGGAUUGAG